AUUGAACGCUGGCGGCAUGCUUUACACAUGCAAGUCGAACGGUAACAGGCCUUCGGGUGCUGACGAGUGGCGAACGGGUGAGUAAUGCAUCGGAACGUGCCCAGAUGUGGGGGAUAACGCAGCGAAAGCUGUGCUAAUACCGCAUGUUAUCUGAGGAUGAAAGCGGGGGACCAGGCAGCAAUGUUUGGCCUCGCGCCUUUGGAGCGGCCGAUGUCAGAUUAGGUAGUUGGUGGGGUAAAGGCCUACCAAGCCGACGAUCUGUAGCUGGUCUGAGAGGACGACCAGCCACACUGGGACUGAGACACGGCCCAGACUCCUACGGGAGGCAGCAGUGGGGAAUUUUGGACAAUGGGCGCAAGCCUGAUCCAGCAAUGCCGCGUGCGGGAAGAAGGCCUUCGGGUUGUAAACCGCUUUUGUACGGAACGAAAAGGAUCUGGCUAAUACCUGGGGAUGAUGACGGUACCGUAAGAAUAAGCACCGGCUAACUACGUG
rnacentral:rRNA from 1 species